rnacentral:rRNA from 1 species
CCUACGGGUGGCUGCAGUGGGGAAUAUUGGACAAUGGGGGCAACCCUGAUCCAGCCAUGCCGCGUGUGUGAAGAAGGCCCUCGGGUUGUAAAGCACUUUCAGUGAGGAAGAACGCCUGGUGGUUAAUACCCAUCAGGAAAGACAUCACUCACAGAAGAAGCACCGGCUAACUCCGUGCCAGCAGCCGCGGUAAUACGGAGGGUGCGAGCGUUAAUCGGAAUUACUGGGCGUAAAGCGCGCGUAGGUGGCUUGAUAAGCCGGUUGUGAAAGCCCCGGGCUCAACCUGGGAACGGCAUCCGGAACUGUCAAGCUAGAGUGCAGGAGAGGAAGGUAGAAUUCCCGGUGUAGCGGUGAAAUGCGUAGAGAUCGGGAGGAAUACCAGUGGCGAAGGCGGCCUUCUGGACUGUCACUGACACUGAGGUGCGAAAGCGUGGGUAGCAAACAGGAUUAGAUACCCUUGUAGUC